GUUAAAAAAGCAUCACACAUACUAAAAUUGGAACGAUACAGACAAGAUUAGCAUGGCCCCUGAGCAAGGAUGACAUGCAAAUUCGUGAAGCGUUCCAUAUUUUU
ensembl:snRNA U6 U6 spliceosomal RNA